rnacentral:rRNA from 1 species
AUUGAACGCUGGCGGCAGGCCUAACACAUGCAAGUCGAGCGGAUGAAGGGAGCUUGCUCCUGGAUUCAGCGGCGGACGGGUGAGUAAUGCCUAGGAAUCUGCCUGGUAGUGGGGGAUAACGUCCGGAAACGGGCGCUAAUACCGCAUACGUCCUGAGGGAGAAAGUGGGGGAUCUUCGGACCUCACGCUAUCAGAUGAGCCUAGGUCGGAUUAGCUAGUUGGUGGGGUAAAGUCCUACCAAGGCGACGAUCCGUAACUGUUCUGAGUGGAUGACCAGUCACACUGGAACUGAGACACGGUCCAGACUCCUACGGGAGGCAGCAGUGGGGAAUAUUGGACAAUGGGCGAAAGCCUGAUCCAGCCAUGCCGCGUGUGUGAAGAAGGUCUUCGGCUUGUAAAGCACUUUAAGUUGGGAGGAAGGACAGUAAGUUUAUACCUUGCUGUUUUGACGUUACCAACAGAAUAAGCACCGGCUAACUUCGUG